GGAAUAUUGCUCAAUGGGAGAAAUCCUGAAGCAGCAACGCCGCGUGGAGGAUGAAGGGUCUAUGACUUGUAAACUCCUGUAAAGAAGGAAAAAAUUCCCAUUAGAUGGGAGAUGAUGGUACUUCUGGAGUAAGCCCCGGCUAACUACGUGCCAGCAGCCGCGGUAAUACGUAGGGGGCAAGCGUUGUCCGGAUUUACUGGGUGUAAAGGGUGCUCAGGCGAAUUUGUAAGUCAGAGGUGAAAUCUUACAGCUUA
rnacentral:rRNA from 1 species